rnacentral:rRNA from 1 species
CAAUAGCGUAUAUUAAAGUUGUUGCAGUUAAAAAGCUCGUAGUUGGAUUUCUGGUAGGAGUGACCGUGCCAGACUUGAUUGUCUGUGUAUUGUGUUGUCUCCAGCCAUCCUUGUGGAGAACUUUUCUUGCAUUAAUUUGUAGGGAUUGGGACCCGCAUCGUUUACUGUGAAAAAAUUAGAGUGUUUAAAGCAGGCAAUCGCUUGAAUACAUUAGUAUGGAAUAAUAAGAUAGGACUUUGGUACUAUUUUGUUGGUUUGCAUACCAAAUUAAUGAUCAACAGGAACAGUUUGAGGAUAUUCGUAUGAACAUGUCAGAGGUGAAAUUCUUGGAUUUUGAUCAGACGAACUACUGCGAAAGCAUUUAUCAAGGAUGUUUNCAUUAA